UGGCAUUUGAAGACGUAAAAGAACAAAGCGGUUAGAGGAUGAAAACCUCGUAAAACAAUCGUA
rfam:Psychrobacillus sp. FJAT-21963 super1, whole genome shotgun sequence.